rnacentral:rRNA from 1 species
CAGUCACGAUACGGAGGCCUUGGCGACAUCUGGCGAAGAAGGACGCGAUAAGCUGCGAUAAGCCUCGGGGAGCCGCAAAUAGGCCGAUCCGAGGAUUUCCGAAUGGGGAAACCCCGUCAGCAAUGACGAUCCCGCGCUGAAUCCAUAGGCGUGAGGAAGCGAACCCGGUGAAGUGAAACAUCUCAGUAACCGGAGGAAAAGAAAGCGAAUGCGAUUCCCUCAGUAGUGGCGAACGAAAGGGGAACAGCCCAAACCAGGGAGACUUGUCUCGCUGGGGUACGGGCCUCGAUGUGAGACUGGAGAGGUUAGGUGAAGCGUUUGAAUGACGCGUCAAAGAGGGUGAAAACCCCGUAACCGAAAACCCGACCAGCUCUAGAGGUACCCAGAGUAGCACCGGACACGUGAAACCCGGUGUGAAAAGAACGCAGACCACUGCGUAAGGCUAAAUACACGAUGUCGACCGAUAGUGAAGAGUACCGCGAGGGAAAGGUGAAAAGCACCCCUGUUAGGGGAGUGAAAAGUACCUGAAACCUGUUGCUUACAAGCGGUCGGAGCCCCCUCGUGGGGUGACGGCGUACCUUUUGCAUAAUGGGUCUGGGAGUUAACGUAAGGAGCCAGCCUAAGGUCCCUCAGGACCGGAGGCGCAGCGAAAGCGAGUCUGAACAGGGCGCACAGUUCCUUGCGUUAUACCCGAAGCGGAGGUGAUCUACCCAUGACCAGGUUGAAGCCCAAGUAACAUUGGGUGGAGGACCGAACUGAUGGCACUUGAGAAUGCCCCGGAUGAGUUGUGGGUAGGAGUGAAAGGCUAAUCAAACCCCGUAAUAGCUGGUUCUCUCCGAAAUAUAUUUAGGUAUAGCGUCCAGCGCUGACCCGUGGGGGUAGAGCACUGAAAAGGCUAGGGGACACACCCGUCUACCAACCCUUAUCAAACUCCGAAUACCACGGGGCGAAGCUGGGCAGUCAGGCAGUGGGGGAUAAGCUUCAUUGCCGAGAGGAAAACAGUCCAGACCACCAAUUAAGGCCCCAAAGACGUAGCUAAGUGGAUUAAAGAAUGUGAACUUGCACAGACAAUAGGGAUGUUGGCUUAGAGGCAGCCACCAUUUAAACAGUGCGUAACAGCUGACCUAUCGAGUGAGUUUGCGUCUAAGAUGAUCGGGACUAAGCGACGCGCCGAAGUUGUGGGCUGCAGCAAUGCAGCAGUAGGAGAGCGUUCCGGCCAGCGGCGAAGCGGAAGCGGUAAGCGACCGUGGAGCGGCCGGAAGUGAGUAUCCAGACAUAAGUAACGAUAAGAAUGGUCAAAAUCCAUUCCGCCGUAAGGAUAAGGUUUCCAGGGCAAGGGUCGUCCCCCCUGGGUUAGUCGGGAGCUAAGCCGAGGCCGUAAGGAGUAGGCGAUGCACAUCAGGUUAAUAUUCCUGAACCAAGUAGAGAGGACGGGAUCGUGGAGUCAGCAGACCUUACUGACUUGGCAGUCCAAGGCUACGGCCGAGGACGCGCUGGCGAAGCGAUCUCCAGGAAAAGCCUCUACAUUAAGCCCGUACCGCAAACCGACACAGGUAUCCGGGAUGAGCAUUCUAAGGCGCGUGAGUUAAACCUCCUCAAGGAACUCGACAAAUUAACCCCGUAUCUUCGGUAUAAGGGGUGCUCCGGGCAACCGGAGUCGCAGUGAAGAGGCCCUACCGACUGUUUAGCAAAAACACAGCUCUCUGCUAAGUCGCAAGACGACGUAUAGGGAGUGACGUGUGACCAAUGCGGAAAGGUGAAAGCUGGAGCUGCAAGGUUCCGGUCUAAGCCCCCGUGAAUGUCGGCCGUAACUAUAACGGUCCUAAGGUAGCGAAAUUCCUUGUCGGGUAAGUUCCGACCUGCACGAAUCACGUAACGAGUAGGGCAUUGUCUCGAGGAGGGGCUCAGUGAAAUUGUAGUCGCGGUGAAGAUGCCGCGUUCCCGCAGCAGGACGGAAAGACCCUAUAGACCUUUACUGUAACCUGGUAUUGGCGCUUGAGAUGUGAUUCGUAGAAUAGCUGGGAGACUUCGAAGUCCGACCUCAGGGUCGGAUGGAGUCGUAAUAUGAAAUACCAGUAUUCAUUUCUUAGGCUUCUAACCCAUCAUCCAUCAGCUGGAGUGGGGACAUUGCUAGGGGGUCAGUUUGACUGGGGCGGUCUCCUCCGAAAGAGAAACGGAGGAUUGCGAAGGUCAGCUCAGGCCGAUUACCAACCGGC